GAUUUUAUUUUAUCAUGAAUUAAAUUGAAUUAGUUAGCACAUAUAUUUUGUCAUUCUCUACUCCCAGUUUUAAAUUAUUAUUAAAAGUGGGAAAAAUAUAAUCUACACGUGGCAGCCCAACCCAUUCCAAAAAUUCCAGCCCAUUACCUUUCUUAAAUAAAAGAAAUAUUAAAUAAUAAGCUUUAAAAUAAGGGUUUCGAUUUCUAGAGAGAGAGAGAUAGAGAGAUGAAUUGUUGUGAAUCCGGCGACGGCAUGAACAAAGUUCCGAAAUUGGACGGUGUUCCGGCGGAAUCCGGCGAGUGUAGCGUAAACAAAACAAAAACGAAGAAGAAGCGCAAGCGCGUGGGUACAUCUGCGGAUAAUAAGACGAAACAUACGAAACUCAAAUCGAAGAAGCAGCAGCCCAAGAGCACAGUCAUCGUUAUAAAUGUAUUGUACGACGUUGAUUCCACGCGCUGUGAUGGCAAAACAUGGAAAAUUCUCGAUGAAUUCACCAAUUUCGCCCUUAGCCUCUACAACAGAACACAUUACAUGAAAUACAAUUUGAUGGAGCUGCUGCGUGCAACUGGAGAUUUAUCAAUGGUGGAUUUGAUGUUUAGGGCAAAGCCUCGUAAGAAGGUUGUGAAUUGUGAAGAUCCAAAACCCCAAAUUUUUCGAGCUAGGGUUUCGAUCACACAUCGCUAUGUAGUGUUUGUCGAAAUUGUCCUUCCAGCUGACUUUGGUUACCUUCAUUAGGUUCAGAGAAACUAUUUAUGUAUAUAUUUAUAUAUAUGCUUUUGGAAUAUAUGUAAUUGGGCUGUGAACUAAUUUUGUUUGUGUUCAUCUAGACUCCUUUUGUAUUUUGUGAAAAAAACACAAAAAAUGAUAGGUGUGUGUGUGGAGGUGUGAAUGCCCAGUGAAAGGCUGGAACAAUGCUAGUCUUAUUUAUUUUGACAAAUUUGCUUGCUACUGCUAUAUUUUGUGCUUGUCCACUUUAUGUAUUGCAAUUGUUAUUUCGUUUA